rnacentral:lncRNA from 1 species
UGAGGGAGAAUUUGAGCCGAUCUUCUGAAUCCUAGUUACACAUUCUUAUUACUCCCCACCCCUAAAGAAAGCAAGUUUUGGGAAAUUCCUUGAUUCUGUGGAUUGAUAUUUUUGAGCUCUGAAGCCUUCAGGAGUGAGCUGAGAAAUCUCAUUGACUCCUGGUCUGUUUUUCUCCCCGUGUACUGUUUAGUUCUGAGAACAAAUGACUCUUCAAAUACAGCCUGUUCCCAGGACAGUCCUGCCGCAUAAGUUUUACUGCUGUUGGCCUGGAAGACUUACUCUGAGUUAAUCCCCCACUCCCAGUGUUCUGCAGUGCUGCCCAGUGUUUAAACAAAUCUGUUUACUUCCCGGUGCACUGGAAUUCUCCCUGCUCCCCCCCCCCAUUUUACCUGUGUGCACCUGAUGUCCACCCCCACCCCCACGCCUGUGCUCUGUGGGUGUGAAGCCAGCCUGGGAUGAUGGCUGGAUGCCCGUGGACCGGCUCUCUGGGUUUGCAUCCUGCUCCUGCCUCUUACUUGCUGUGUGAUCUUGGCCAAGUUUUUGAUUGAACUGCAUUUGCAUUUGUUUCCUGGUCUGUAAAAUAGGGAUAAUGCAGUGACAGGGGUUUACUGUGGUGACUCAAGGGCAUAACUUGUGCAGAAUGCUUUGGGAAUAGCAUUACUGUGUUGAGGGCUGGCCUGGGACACCACUAGAUGGUGAGUCACAUUUAUUUGGCUUAUUCUCUGAUGCUUGUUUCAUGUUUUUCCCACCCCCAGGAGGGGGCUGUUGGAAUGCUGCCUUUGUGGUGAUGCAUCUGUACCUCAUCAAAAAAACAAUAUUUUAUUUAUUUAUUUAUUUAGUCUUUUUAGGGCCACACCUGGCAGCAUAUGGAGAUUCUCAGGCUAGGGGUUGAAUCAGAACUGUAGCGGCUGGCCUAGGCCACAGCCACAGCAAUGCUAGAACUUAGGUGUGUCUGUGAUCUAUACCACAGCUUAUGGCAACGCUGGAUCCUCAUCUCACUGAGCAAGGCCAGGGAUCGAACCUGUGUCCUCAUGGAUGCUAGUCAGGUUCAUUUCAGCCGAGCUAUGAUGGGAACUCCUAAAAUAGUAGGUGGUUUAAAGCAGACUAUUUUGGAGGGGGUGGGGUCAGAGUGGGCAGUGCCGUGUUAGAAAAAAGUUACACCCUGUAGGUGUCCAUGUGUUCUGCCACUGUGAAGACAUGAACAUGUGUAUGAGUGUGUGUGUGGGCAUAUGUGGAAAGCAUUCCUGAACUUCAUCCUUAGAAUCUCCCUUCCUCCUCAAAAGGCCCUCGAUCUUCCUGCACCCAGAUUUGUAAUGUGUUUCGGAUGAAUUGAAUCCAUGGUUGAGAUUCAGAGGAAAUCAUUUGACUCAGAUGCCCUCCCUACAGCUUCUCAUCCUCAUGGUUUUUGUUGGUUCCCAGUAUGGAGAAUGAAUACAAAUGUUUAUUUUCCAAGAACUCAAUGUGUUUUUCAAUACUUUUAUGCAGUCAAAAUGUUAAAUGUCAAGGAAUGACAAGAUGAUGGCCAUGUCUAAUUCCUGCUGCUUUGUCCUGAUGGUGGGGGGAUGGAGGCCUGUGUUGUGGAGGCUUAGGUGCUGUUUCAGCACCUGCUUGUUUUUCAUCCCUCUUACCUUCUCAUCUCUGUGCAGCUACCACUGAGGCAGCCCUCCUUCCUCUCUCCUCAUCCUUCCUUCAGAAAAUAACCCAUGGGUCUAGGCAACCAUUCAGAGCCCCUGAAAGGGGGAUGGGGUGCUUUGGAUUUUCAUGGAGUAGGUUUUUUGGAGGAUGGGGUCGAGUGGUUGAGUAACAGGUGCAUUGAAAAUACUGCAGGGAGGCUGCCCAUCAAACCUAGAUGGCAGGAUUACUCACCCACGUGCCCAGGGAAUUCUCUGAAAUUUUGCAUUUUUUUUUUUUUGUAUUUUCUGGGGCCACACCCGCGGCACAUGGAGGUUCCUGGGCUAGGGGUCGAAUUGGAGCUGUAGCCACCAGCCUAUGCCAGAGCCACAGUAACAUGGGAUCCGAGCUGAGUUUGCAACCUACAUCACAGCUCACGGCAAUGCCGGAUCCUUAACUUACUGAGGGAGGCCAGGGAUUGAACCUGCAACCUCAUGGUUCCUAGUUGGAUUUGUUAACCACUGAGCCAUGAUGGGAACUCCCAUUUUCUAUUUAUUAAAGACACAUGAAAUCAAAAGCAUACAUUUGGUCUCUGUAAUUUGGCAACUUCAUGGGAAAAAAACCCACCCUGUUGGUACCCAUUGGUUACCCCACUUCCCCUUUGGUCCUGCUGCAGUUGGCGCCACGUCCUGGGGUUUGCUGCCCUACUCUCUGGUUGACCCAGGUGAUCAAGGAUGACAUCAACACCUAAAACCAGAGACAGUCUAAGAACUUCACUAUUGCUGUGGGGCUGUGUCUCUUCCCUCACUGUAUAUAAAUCCCUGUUUCUGCCUUUAAUUCCCACUGCCCCGCCGCUGCCUCCCCUCUGUGUGUGGGCAGAGCAGCAGAAAGAUGCUUCCAUCACUGCCAGUGCUAUUGGUCAUGAGAUGCUCCCUUAGCCCCCUCCUUUCACGUCCCCUCAGUGGAGGAAAAACUUCCCCGAGAACACCCCUGCUCUCCCCCUGAAUUCCUUAACUUUCUUCUGAGUUCCCGAUCCAAACCAGAUUCUUGAGACUCAACCUAAACUUGCCCUCUUCCUCACCUGGAUAUCUAACAGUUCACCAGAUACUGUUGAUGGCACCUCAGGUCGAGUCUCUCUCCCUUCCCCAUCCCCAUGUUCCCACCCUGGUUUCAGCUGUUGCAUCCUCGUGAGGAUGGCAGUGGAUUUCUGUCUGCCCUCCCUCUCCUGUUCUGCCCUACCCUGUCAGUCCUGCGCCAAACCCCUAGGAGGAGUUGAGAAUUACUGUGAUGGAUAAACUUUAUGGCCUGUCAGAAUCAAGUCGAAACUCUUCUUUUAGCAAAGAAUAACAUAUUUUUACUAAUAUUCCUUGCCCUCCUCCCUAGCUAGACCCACUGGCUUCUCAACAGCAGCUGAACACAUUGCUUAAUUUUCCCCAGUGUGACUUCUUCCCUUAAUUUUCUGGGCCUCUUUAUGAGCUCCCUCUCUAGGUUCUUUGGAUGUGCUCUGUCUGGAUAACUGUUCGCAGCCCAAGGGGCACCUCUUCCUUGAAGUCCUCCCUGAUUCCUCUGGCAGGUUUGACUCCUUCGUUCUCUUGACUGCAUGUGAAAAUGUCAAAGCACAGGUGGCACUAUAUUACACCUAGUUUUUAACAGGUGCUAGGAGAUGAGGGGCUCAUCACACCAUUAGUAUUGUUACAGUAUUGUUUUUACUUUCAUUGCAGCAUAUUUUAAACAUAGUUUUAUGAACUGUAGCAUAUAUACACACAUGAGUGUUUAAAGUGUAUAUGUGCAGUGUAACGAACAGCCACCACAAAAGCAAACAUAUUAUGUGUCUGUUGCCCAGGCCUAACACAUAAGACUUUGCCCCUUCCAGAUACCCUGUGUGCAUCCCUCUCUGGUCUCAGCUGCCUCUGCCGCCCCCUAUUGGUAACUCAGCCUCAAUUUCAUGUUAAUUAUUAAUUUGCUUUUCUGUGUAGUUAAAAAAAAAAAAGCUAACUAAGCAUGUAUCCCUAGGUAAUAAAUUGUUUAAUCAGCUCUCUUUUUGAAUUUCAUAUAAAUGGAAUUAUUCUGUUUGUAUCCAUUAGUGAUUUGCCUCUUUGAUUAUGAGAUUCAUUCUGUUGAUAUGUGUCGUCAUGGUUCAUUCAUUUUGUUGUGGUUGCAUAAAUUCCAUUUUAUGAAUACAUCAUACUUUAUUUACUGAAUCUAUUGUUGAUGACUUGUUCCUAGGUUUCCCCAUUAUGAACAUUUUGGCCCACAUGCAGCUUUGGCAUUGGGAUAUAGGUAGCUGGUAGCAGGACAUCUGGGUGGUACAUACAUGUGGCUUAACCGUUACCAGGUAUUUCUAAGCAUUUGUUAAAGUAGUCGUACCAGGGAUUGGAACUUUUGGUUUUUUUUGCUUUUUAGGGCCGCACCUGCAGCAUAUGGAAGUUUGUAGGCUAGGGGUCACAUAAGAGCUUCCGCUGCUGGCCUGUACCACAGCCAUAGCAAUGUGGAAUCUGAGCCACGUCUGCACCAGAGCUCACAGCAACACUGGAUACUUAACCCACUGAGUGAGGCCAGGAAUUGAACCUACAUCCUCAUGGAUACUAGUUGGGUUUGUUACCACUGAGCCACAACGGAAAUGCUGACUGGAGCUUUUUUACCUCAUUAUCCUUGGUACCUAGGACAGUGUGAAUGGUCAAAUACAGUUGCUCAGAAUACCCACUGAUUGAAGGUACAGCAGUAAAGUAGAUGUUUAAUGAUAGCCCUUGUCUGUGUAUAGCUCUGAGAGUUAAUAAAGCAGACACCUUUCCCACUCCAACUUCAGCCUACAGAGUGGGCUUGUUGGCUUGGUGUAGAGUGGUGUAUUUUAAUAAUAACAGAGAUAGGAGUAAUGCAACUGUAAUGUCUUAAACAACUUUCAAGAGGAUUCUUAAAAGACCCAGUUGAAAUUACUGCUGUUAGCAGGCCGAACCUUCAGAACAAAAUGGGUCUCAACUAUCCUUUUAAACUAAUUUCAUUUCGUAUUGCUGAGAGUGUAGAUCUUGGGAGCUCACUUACCUUGGAAUAGGAGUUUUUCUUCAGUGCACUUUCCGGAGCUUAGCAUAUAAAGAUCUUUGACAGAGGAGAGAUUAAUGCUUCUAGAUUGGGACAGUGCUGCUCAGAGGAAGAUGUAGAGGGACUUUCUGUGUCACAAGACACUGUUUAGCCCUGGUGAAAUGCAGGUCAUAAACUUGGAUAAACCAUGAAUUUAAUGUUUCUUGAAAUAAAUACUCUCUUUAAAGCAGUAUUUUAGGGAUUCUUUCUCUUAUCCAAACCUUAUUUAAUAAAUUGGUUGAUUUAAAAAAAAUCUUUUAAUUUAAAAAUAAUGUUGGAUUUACAGCAGUGUUGCAGAGAGGUCCCGUUGUGGCUCAGUGGUAACAAACCCAGCUAGUAUCCAUGAAGAUGUGGGUUUGAUCCCUGACUUCCCCAGUGGGGUAAGGGUCUGGUGUUGCCAUGAGCUGUGGUGUAGGUCACAGAAUCAACUCGGAUCCUGUGUUGCUGUUGCUGUGGGGUGUAGGCCAGCAGCUGUAGCUCCAAUUCUGCAGCCC